rnacentral:rRNA from 1 species
GUCGAACGGUAACAGGAAGCAGCUUGCUGCUUUGCUGACGAGUGGCGGACGGGUGAGUAAUGUCUGGGAAACUGCCUGAUGGAGGGGGAUAACUACUGGAAACGGUAGCUAAUACCGCAUAACGUCGCAAGACCAAAGAGGGGGACCUUCGGGCCUCUUGCCAUCGGAUGUGCCCAGAUGGGAUUAGCUAGUACGUGGGGUAACGGCUCACCUAGGCGACGAUCCCUAGCUGGUCUGAGAGGAUGACCAGCCACACUGGAACUGAGACACGGUCCAGACUCCUACGGGAGGCAGCAGUGGGGAAUAUUGCACAAUGGGCGCAAGCCUGAUGCAGCCAUGCCGCGUGUAUGAAGAAGGCCUUCGGGUUGUUAAGUACUUUCAGCGGGGAGGAAGGCGACAGGGUUAAUAACCCUGUCGAUUGACGUUACCCGCAGAAGAAGCACCGGCUAACUCCGUGCCAGCAGCCGCGGUAAUACGGAGGGUGCAAGCGUUAAUCGGAAUUACUGGGCGUAAAGCGCACGCAGGCGGUCUGUCAAGUCGGAUGUGAAAUCCCCGGGCUCAACCUGGGAACUGCAUUCGAAACUGGCAGGCUAGAGUCUUGUAGAGGGGGGUAGAAUUCCAGGUGUAGCGGUGAAAUGCGUAGAGAUCUGGAGGAAUACCGGUGGCGAAGGC